rnacentral:misc_RNA from 1 species
GAAAUGCGAUAAGUAAUGUGAAUUGCAGAAUUCAGUGAAUCAUCGAAUCUUUGAACGCACCUUGUGCUCCUUGGUAUUCCUUGGAGCAUGCCUGUUUGAGUAUCAUGAAAUCUUCAAAGUAAAUCUUUUGUUAACUCAAUUGGUUUCUACUUUGGUAUUGGAGGUCUUUGCAGCUUCACACCUGCUCCUCUUUGUUCAUUAGCUGGAUCUCAGUGUUAUGCUUGGUUCCACUCGGCGUGAUAAGUUAUCUAUCGCUGAGGACACUGUAAAAGGUGGCCAAGGUAAAUGCAGAUGAACCGCUUCUAAUAGUCCAUUGACUUGGACAAUACUUUUAUGAUCUGAUCUCAAAUCAGGUAGGACUACCCGCAGAACUUAAGC